rnacentral:rRNA from 1 species
CUCGGCUGCAUGAAGCUGGAAUCGCUAGUAAUCGCGGAUCAGAAUGCCGCGGUGAAUACGUUCCCGGGUCUUGUACACACCGCCCGUCACACCAUGGGAGUAGGUAAUGCCCGAAGUCGGUGAACCUAACCGGAAGGAAGGAGCCGCCGAAGGCAGGACUUAUAACUGGGGUGAAGUCGUAACAAGGUACC